UGUCAGUUUCCCAUUAUGGAUGACCUGGCAGGUCAUCCCCUAAAGCCAAUUUCCAUCACAAGGGAGCAGCAGACCAUAAGGUACUUUACCUUGGUUGGUCACAAGCCUCCAUCCCCAGGCAUCCCAGGCAUCCAAGAUUCUAGGAGUGCUCCAAUAUGUGACUGCCAGUUAAAAUAUAGAAGACAACAGGAGUGGAGUUCAGAGUAAUAAAGGACCUAGAAGAAUUUAGCUGCACUAAGAAUCUUACUUCAUCUGUUUUUCUGCUCCUAUUUUGCCUUGUAUUUAAAUACAAUAAGAUAUGGCUCACACCAAAAAAACCUGUUUCAUCUCAUCUUACCAGCAACUCAAUCUCUGAAACCACAAAGAAAAUGCAGGUUGCCAGCUCUAGAAUGUUAAUAGGACCUGUCACCUCCUAGGGCAACAAACAACCCUAUAAAUGAAAGACUUCCAGGUUAUGAGGGGGAAAAACACCUAAACUCAUUGCUCAUAGUGCAAAACUUCCGCCUUCCAUCAGAAGAUAAACAUUUGUUUUAAAAAUAAAAAUAAGCCUUAACAUUCCUUAAGGGAAAAAAAUAUAAACCAGUAUGAAGACAUACCAAGCUAAAGUCCUUGUUUUUUUAACCCUUACCUUCUGUCUUAAAAUCAAUACUGU